rnacentral:rRNA from 2 species
UACGUAGGGCGCAAGCGUUGUCCGGAAUUAUUGGGCGUAAAGAGCUCGUAGGCGGUUUGUCGCGUCUGCUGUGAAAGCCCGGGGCUUAACCCCGGGUGUGCAGUGGGUACGGGCAGACUAGAGUGCAGUAGGGGAGACUGGAAUUCCUGGUGUAGCGGUGGAAUGCGCAGAUAUCAGGAGGAACACCGAUGGCGAAGGCAGGUCUCUGGGCUGUUACUGACGCUGAGGAGCGAAAGCAUGGGGAGCGAACAGG